rnacentral:rRNA from 1 species
UACGUAGGGGGCAAGCGUUGUCCGGAUUUAUUGGGCGUAAAGAGCGUGUAGGCGGUUUGGUAGGUCCGUUGUGAAAACUCGAGGCUCAACCUCGAGACGCCGGCGGAAACCAUCAGGCUAGAGUCCGGAAGAGGAGAGUGGAAUUCCUGGUGUAGCGGUGAAAUGCGCAGAUAUCGGGAGGAACACCAAUGGCGAAGGCAGCUCGCUGGGACGGUACUGACGCUGAGACGCGAAAGCGUGGGGAGCAAACAGG